AGCGAACGCUGGCGGCAGGCUUAACACAUGCAAGUCGAGCGGGCAUAGCAAUAUGUCAGCGGCAGACGGGUGAGUAACGCGUGGGAACGUACCUUUUGGUUCGGAACAACACAGGGAAACUUGUGCUAAUACCGGAUAAGCCCUUACGGGGAAAGAUUUAUCGCCGAAAGAUCGGCCCGCGUCUGAUUAGCUAGUUGGUAGGGUAAUGGCCUACCAAGGCGACGAUCAGUAGCUGGUCUGAGAGGAUGAUCAGCCACAUUGGGACUGAGACACGGCCCAAACUCCUACGGGAGGCAGCAGUGGGGAAUAUUGGACAAUGGGGGCAACCCUGAUCCAGCCAUGCCGCGUGAGUGAUGAAGGCCCUAGGGUUGUAAAGCUCUUUUGUGCGGGAAGAUAAUGACGGUACCGCAAGAAUAAGCCCCGGCUAACUUCGUGCCAGCCGCCGCAGUAA
rnacentral:rRNA from 1 species